rnacentral:rRNA from 1 species
AGAGAGAGACAUGCGUGCAUAUCAAUAAGCGGAGGAAAAGAAACUAACAAGGAUUCCCCUAGUAACGGCGAGUGAAGCGGGAAGAGCUCAAAUUUGAAAUCUUAAAGGGUUUCCCUUUACGAAUUGUAGUUUAAAGAAGAGUUUUCUGUUGAGGUUUUGGUAAAAGUUCUUUGGAAUAGGACAUCAUAGAGGGUGAGAAUCCCGUAUUUGACCUUUACUUUCAACUUUGUGAUACACUUUCAAAGAGUCGGAUUGUUUGGGAAUGCAGUCCAAAAUGGGUGGUAAAUUUCAUCUAAAGCUAAAUAUUGGCGAGAGACCGAUAGCGAACAAGUACCGUGAGGGAAAGAUGAAAAGAACUUUGAAAAGAGAGUUAAACAGUACGUGAAAUUGUCAAAAGGGAGGCGUUUGACACCAGUGUUGUUUUUCUGAAAAUCAAUUAAAGAACUGUUUAUGCUAAGUUGUUUAGACUUUAUCAGCUAACUGUUUAGUUUUGAGCUUUUCUUUAAUGCACUUUUCAGUUAACAAGUCAACAUCAAUUUCUUUUGCUGUAAAAAAGCUUGAGGAAGGUGGCUUGAGAUUCGUCUUAAGUGUUUAUAGCCUCUUGCCUAUGCAGUCGGAGAGAUUGAGGUCUGCAGCGUAGAUCCUUCGGGGCUAAAUGCAUUUGUGCUAAGUUAUAGCAUUUUAUAGACAACUUGUUGACUAUGAUUUGUCUUGUAGCUUACUCGCUUAUGUUAUUUUACCUACGCUUAGGAUGUUGACGCAUGAGAUAUACGC